rnacentral:misc_RNA from 1 species
GAUGAAGAACGUAGCUAAAUGCGAUAAGUAAUGUGAAUUGCAGAAUUCAGUGAAUCAUCGAAUCUUUGAACGCACCUUGCACCCUUUGGCAUUCCGAAGGGUAUGCUCGUUUGAGUGUCAUUGUACUCUCACACUCCCAAUUGCUUUGGAUUGGGAGCGGUGGACUUGGGUGUUGCUGCUUGACUGAGGCUCACCUGAAAUAUGUUAGUGCACCUCUUGAUUGGACAUAGUACGGCGUGAUAAGUGUCUUCGCCGGCUCCUCGCAAAGAGGGUGGCCGAUCGGGAGCUCUGUUGCUUCAAACUGUCUUCGGACAAUCUUCUGGCGACUUGACCUCAAAUCGAGUAGGACUACCCGCUGAACUUAAGCAUAUCAAUAAGCGGAGGA